rnacentral:rRNA from 1 species
UACGUGAGGGCGAACGUUGUUCGGUGUCACUGGGCUUAAAGGGUGCGUAGGUGGUUGCGUAAGUAAGGUGUGAAAUCCCUCGGCUUACCCGAGGAAUUGCAUUUUAUACUGCGUGGCUUGAGGACUAAAGGGGAAAAGGGAACUCCAGGUGUAGCGGUGAAAUGCGUAGAUAUCUGGAGGAACACCGGUGGCGAAGGCGGCAUCCUGGACCGGCAUUGACGCUGAGGCGCGAAAGCUAGGGGAGCAAACGGG